AAGUGCUCAGGGAGCAUCAGGACGAUCUCGGGCAGGGAAGGAAAUGUGCACAGGUGUGCGCGACAAGGAUUCAGGAACGCUCACAGGAUUGAGUAAAGGCAAAGGAAAACAGGGAUGCUGGCUGCUAAUAAGGAUGCUGACAUUGUCAGUCCUUCUGCGGAAGGUGCGAAAAAAGGCGACAGGGUGACCUGCCGCCUUUUUUCUUUGUCUGCUU
rnacentral:sRNA from 1 species